CUAAUUUUUGUAAAUACUUUAAUAGCUUUGAAUAAUGAUCCAUUUGUUCCACCGUUUCAUCUUCCUUACAUUCUCGCUUCUUUCCAACAUGCCAAAAAAGAAGGCAACAGGUAAUUAGGUACAUCGACUAUGAAAAUUAAUUCUCAAGUAUCUAUGGAGUAAAAUAUUACUAUGAGCUGCAAAAUACAAUCUUCCAUGUAUACAUACAAAUACAACAUUCAACAUUUAUAUGGAUUUUUCUGGGAUCUUCUGUGCUCUCACCAGAAACAAUCUGAGUUGUACCCCGGUUACUGCUGGAUAGAAUGCAAAAGCACAAAAGUAUUGAGAAGCAGAAAUGAUAUUUGUGCAAGAAGAAAUUUCAAAUGAAUUGAAUUUUGAAAAAGUUUGGGAUGAAUUGUCAUGCAAUAACGAUAUCGUCUGGCAUAAAUAGGUUGGUAAAUUAUAAUUGGAGGAAAAUAUUAUAUAACGAGUCUGCAUGCACUGCAUGUCUCGUCGUACCUGAACUGGUGAAGUGUUCAUUAAAACGAAUGGACCAAACGAAAAGGAGAAAAGGGUUUUUUUUUUAUUAACAUUAUAUUGUGAUAUUUUAUGUGCUUCCGGUGUAAGAACAUUUGUUUCACGAUUAGAUGGUUUUCUUGUUUGAUCUUUUUUUCCGGUAUAAGUAACACUUAUAGGCAGUCACAUUAUGCCCGCGUGCGUGCUUUAGUGAAGAGAAGUGAUCAAGAGAAGAGAAGAGAAGAGGAGAAGA